ACGACGGGUAGCCGGCCUGAGAGGGCGACCGGCCACACUGGGACUGAGACACGGCCCAGACUCCUACGGGAGGCAGCAGUGGGGAAUAUUGCACAAUGGGCGGAAGCCUGAUGCAGCGACGCCGCGUGAGGGAUGACGGCCUUCGGGUUGUAAACCUCUUUCAGCAGGGACGAAGCGUAAGUGACGGUACCUGCAGAAGAAGCACCGGCCAACUACGUGCCAGCAGCCGCGGUAAGACGUAGGGUGCGAGCGUUGUCCGGAUUUAUUGGGCGUAAAGAGCUCGUAGGCGGCUUGUCGCGUCGACCGUGAAAACUUGGGGCUCAACCCCAAGCCUGCGGUCGAUACGGGCAGGCUAGAGUUCGGUAGGGGAGACUGGAAUUCCUGGUGUAGCGGUGAAAUGCGCAGAUAUCAGGAGGAACACCGGUGGCGAAGGCGGGUCUCUGGGCCGAUACUGACGCUGAGGAGCGAAAGCGUGGGGAGCGAACAGGAUUAGAUACCCUGGUAGUCCACGCUGUAAACGUUGGGCGCUAGGUGUGGGGGGCCUCUCCGGUUUCCUGUGCCGCAGCUAACGCAUUAAGCGCCCCGCCUGGGGAGUACGG
rnacentral:rRNA from 1 species